AGUGAACGCUGGCGGUAGGCCUAACACAUGCGAGUCGAACGGCAGCACAGUAAGAGCUUGCUCUUACGGGUGGCGAGUGGCGGACGGGUGAGGAAUACAUCGGAAUCUACUUUUUCGUGGGGGAUAACGUAGGGAAACUUACGCUAAUACCGCAUACGACCUACGGGUGAAAGCAGGGGAUCUUCGGACCUUGCGCGAUUGAAUGAGCCGAUGUCGGAUUAGCUAGUUGGCGGGGUAAAGGCCCACCAAGGCGACGAUCCGUAGCUGGUCUGAGAGGAUGAUCAGCCACACUGGAACUGAGACACGGUCCAGACUCCUACGGGAGGCAGCAGUGGGGAAUAUUGGACAAUGGGCGCAAGCCUGAUCCAGCCAUACCGCGUGGGUGAAGAAGGCCUUCGGGUUGUAAAGCCCUUUUGUUGGGAAAGAAAAGCAGCAGGUUAAUACCCCGCUGUUCGGACGGUACCCAAAGAAUAAGCACCGCUAACUUCGUG
rnacentral:rRNA from 1 species